GGUCGAUUAGCUCAGUUGGUAGAGCGCUACCCUUACAAGGUAGAUGUCAGUGGUUCGAGUCCACUAUCGACCACCA
rnacentral:tRNA from 8 species